GGUCAGAACCACCUGCUGGCUCUGCAGAGGACAUAGACAAUGAGCUCUGAAAAGCUGUUCACUGGCCUUCCCAGAAAUGGUGCUUUGAAUAGCCAGGGGACAGAGUGUCUCAGGAGUAAGCGAGGGGACACUGCUUGCCUGUCAAGAGCCUUGGCUCCUGACCAAGUGUUUUCUGGGCCACAACAGUGGGAGUUACUGCUUUGUCUGGGCUGUCCAGGCCUCAAGAAAGCCAGUGAGGGCUGUACCCAUUGGACACUAGGGCUGAUGGAAAUUCUCUCGGGUCAGGCUGGAGAAGGCCUGGAGACAGAACCUCGGAAAGUCACAAGGAAGGGAAUGCAGAACUUGUCCUUUCUGAUGCAACCACUGAGCGAAAACAGACACCCAACCAACUUCCAGGAAUACAGGGCCCCUACUGCAGAGCCAGCGAUGGCCUGGGGACAUCAACAAGUGGGGGGAGGGGCUCAGCCAGACAGGUGGUCCCUUACUUUCUCAGCAACUGGUGCUAACAGGCCUGGGUGAACAGCAGGUAAUUCUCUGAUAAGGACCUCAGCCUGGGGCUAGUAUCUAGGAAGUGCCUCUCAACUGUCACCCAAUGCUAGCAGGGUGGGGCUGAGGGGGUGGAAAUAUAUUUUUUUUUCUGGAGCAGAGGACCGAACCCAGGGCCUUGCACUUGUUAGGCAAGCGCUCUACCACUGAGCUAAAUCCCCAACCCCAAUAUUUUGUUUUUAAAACUAUUUUCCAAUUUCUCCAAAUUUUCUAAGUUGCUUUUGUAGGUAGGGAUUGGGCCCACACUGUGGUUUUAGGUAGAGUGGCAAGGCCUGGGUGGGUGGGGAGGCAAAGGGCCCUCUGUUCUAUUCAUUCUGCUGGCCUCAGGGGGAGGGUGGGUGGUGUUUCCACAUCACUUUUUUUUUUUUUUUUCCUCAGAAGCUAACUAGUUCCAGACUGGGGCAGAAGCCUGAAAGUCUCUCCCAACUCCAUUCCUACUCCAGGGUGGGGCAGGGGCAGCGGAACUGGAAGUUCCUCCGAUUGGAGAACCAUGGAGCCUUGGGUGUAGGAACCCCAAGCAUCUUCUGAAAGCAGGGUGGAGACGCCCAAGGCACAGAUGGGGAUACAGAGGCCACAAGAGGGAAGAGAUGGGCCUAGCUUCAAGCACAAGACAACUGGGCUGGAGCAAGAAUUCCUGGCUCCCAUUCCAGAUUCCUCUUCUAGCACUGACCAGUCAAAGCUUGUGAGGGCUCAAACAACAGGCACCUGGGACAACAGAAUAUGUGGGCCACAGACCCCUGGUCAGGAACCUGCCUGGAACUUACAGGUGCUUGGUCUGGCUCACCACCUCAGGCAACCGCCUCAACGGUGUACAAGGUUCUCGGGCAGAGAAGUGAGCAGAGCCCAAGCAGUGGUCCCUCAACAAACUAGUCAAGCAGGACCAAAACACCUCAGAGAAGUGAAGGGACAGCCCUUCUGUGUAUGGUAUGGAGACCUCCAAAGGCAAUUGUGUUAUAGAUUUAUUUGAUAUCUGAACUGAGUCUACAAGUCAGACCCAUGAGUAACGGAUUGCUUCGUGGUUGUCAGAGGCUAGUGUGCAGUAUUUCCAAGGGUUACAUCCAACGACAUGACGCGGAAAACACAAAUUGACGGAGACAGACACAAUCAUUAAGACAAGAGACGCUAAACGUGCCUUAGUGUCCGUGGGAUUGAUCUAAGGCAAGGACCCUUCUAGGUGGGGACCCUAGUGACUGAUCUAAAGCAGAGUGGCUUACCACCACUAGAUGCUAACUGUACUGUGUGCAAACCAGGCGCCCAGUAACAACUGUCCUGGAACCCCAAAACUGGGGAGCCUGCCCUCCCAGUGGUGACCUCUCAUGCCCAAUCUACCUCUAAAUGUCAGCUCUUCACGAUGGACCAGAUGGUGACAGAGCUAAUGUAAGCAGAAGAGGCGAGAGGUGGUAUUGAGCAAAUCCUUGAUGUGGGGACAGAGUUGGGGGCUGGGUUGGGGGGACGGGGGAAGCAGCUGCUCUGGGCUCCUUAACACUGUGCGUGGAGGGGCAUUAUGGGGGUGGGGAGGGGGAUGGAGCACCGUUCAUCUGGGAAUUAGCCAGCCCAAGUCUCCCCCAUUCUUGGCAGCUCCAGAGCCUUCCUUUUGGCUGACAGCCAUGAAAAGAGUGCCUGCCAAGGCCCAUGGAGGAGAAAAAAAAUAACAGGACACCAAAAAAAAAAAAAAAAGGAAAAAAAAAACAAAA